rnacentral:rRNA from 1 species
GACGAACGCUGGCGGCGUGCCUAACACAUGCAAGUCGAGCGAUGAAGUUUCCUUCGGGAAACGGAUUAGCGGCGGACGGGUGAGUAACACGUGGGUAACCUGCCUCAUAGAGGGGAAUAGCCUCCCGAAAGGGAGAUUAAUACCGCAUAAUAUUACAGUUUCGCAUGAAACAGUAAUUAAAGGAGCAAUCCGCUAUGAGAUGGACCCGCGGCGCAUUAGCUAGUUGGUGAGGUAACGGCUCACCAAGGCGACGAUGCGUAGCCGACCUGAGAGGGGUGAUCGGCCACAUUGGGACUGAGACACGGCCCAGACUCCUACGGGAGGCAGCAGUGGGGAAUAUUGCACAAUGGGGGAAACCCUGAUGCAGCAACGCCGCGUGAGUGAUGACGGUCUUCGGAUUGUAAAGCUCUGUCUUUGGGGACGAUAAUGACGGUACCCAAGGAGGAAGCCACGGCUAACUAUGUGCCAGCCGCCGCUGUAAGAC